UACGUAGGGUCCGAGCGUUGUCCGGAAUUACUGGGCGUAAAGAGCUCGUAGGUGGUUUGUCGCGUUGUUCGUGAAAACUCACAGCUCAACUGUGGGCGUGCGGGCGAUACGGGCAGACUUGAGUACUGCAGGGGAGACUGGAAUUCCUGGUGUAGCGGUGGAAUGCGCAGGUAUCGGGAGGAACACCGGUGGCGAAGGCGGCAUCCUGGACCGGCAUUGACGCUGAGGAGCGAAAGCUAGGGGAGCAAACGGG
rnacentral:rRNA from 1 species